GACGAACGCUGGCGGCGUGCUUAACACAUGCAAGUCGAACGGAAAGGCCCUGCUUUUGUGGGGUGCUCGAGUGGCGAACGGGUGAGUAACACGUGAGUAACCUGCCCUUGACUUUGGGAUAACUUCAGGAAACUGGGGCUAAUACCGGAUAGGAGCUCCUGCUGCAUGGUGGGGGUUGGAAAGUUUCGGCGGUUGGGGAUGGACUCGCGGCUUAUCAGCUUGUUGGUGGGGUAGUGGCUUACCAAGGCUUUGACGGGUAGCCGGCCUGAGAGGGUGACCGGCAUGAGUGGGAGGGAGAGAAGGGUGAGAAGGCGCAGGAAGGGAGAAGGGGGGGAGAGGGGAGUACGGGGGGAGGCUGGAGGCAGCAGCGAAGGGAGAGGGAGGAAGGGGUGUGGGUGGGAAAUAGCGGUAGAGGGAAGAGUAGGGGGAAUGACGGGAAGGGGGAAGGAAGGAGCGGCGAAGUACGUG
rnacentral:rRNA from 1 species